GUCACCAGUCCGUGGAAGGCUGCGGGAGAUCACGGAUGUAGCAGUUUCAGGCGGCAUCCCACGGUAAAGUGAAGUCUCCCAAAGCACUAUUGGCCAUGUUGUAAUUGACAAAGUGCCUAGACACAGCCCAGCCCUGCCCUCCCCAGUCUUGCCUUGCCGUCACCUGUCGAAUGAGGGCCAGACAGAAGGGAAUUUCAUCCAUAUGGUCAUAUCAAUGGCCUGUCGUGGUGGGGUCUUGCCACUAGACCGAUCAUGUCCUCAAUAGUUGCAGCAGUAGGCCAGGGAGCAGCAGAGGCCUCCCUUUAUAACACCAAGACCACUUUGGUGCAGACUGUGUUCCAUAGUCUGAAGACAAAAUUACAACAC